UGGCUGAGACGCAGCAGAGCGGACGUGGAAGCGCCUGCCUUAAAACAGGACAUAUUAGCUGCAUUUAACCUUCAGUUACUCUUUUUAUGGUUAGGUUGGAGUCAGGCCAUGUUUAUUUUUAGCUGAAAAACAUUACACCCAGGUAACCUGCAGUGUUGAAAACGUGUUUCCCGACUAUGUUUGCUACCCUAUAAUCCGUCCUACUCUGUAGUAAAAUCAGCGAUAUUUGAUUGUCCUGUUGCUCCCAUUGAAAUUUAUAUAGCCUAUUUAAAAUCUAAAACUUAACAUUGUCCGUAGCCUGCUGUUGUUACCACUGUCCUGUUUGAAAUGUAAAUGAGAGAAACUGGUUAUUUUGUCAUAUGUGCAUGUGCCGAUAUUAAACCCAAGGUACUAACUAGCUAACUGACUGGAUGCCCAUUAACCUUAUAACUCCUGUUGUGUGUGUGUGUGUGUCUGUGUGUACAGAGAGAUAGCCAGGUUCAUAAUGGAUAUGAGGAAGUUUUUUCAAAAAAAGGAGCCACAUUCAGUCCAAAGAGGGAGAGAGGAAAGAGGGGAACAUGAGGAGAAAGUACAAGGUCAGGAAGAACCAGACCAAAUCCCCUGUACUCAUAUAGUGACUCAGAGGAUGAGCAGCCCACAAAAAAACGGUUUCCCCAGGCCCCUCGAGUGAAAAUACCAGCCCUCACCACUCCGCAGUCUUCCCCCCAGCCCACUGACAGCAGGCAUCAUAAUGCCCCUCCCAGCUUCCGGCACCUUUCGCCACUCCGGCAGAACACUCCAAACGACACAGCUUUGCAAUCUCCCCAGCAUGCAUGAGUCUGAUGUCGAGGCCUUCCCUAUAGAUGAUUCCAGAGACUCUGUGAGGCCACUAUUACAAGAUGCGACCUCACAAAAGAUGUUAACGAUGCUGUCAGACCUGACCAGAGCAGUUAACGAACUCCGUGAGGAGGUCAGAGCCAUCCGCCAUCCCUGCUGCAAUGAAUCGGUAGAUGCUGGGGUACUGCCUCUGGAUUUGCUCUUGCACAACAUUAAGGAGCUAAACAAUGCAGAGGCAGCUCUUCAAUCGCAAGAGGCAAAUAAGGCAAUGGUGAGACGCUUUGCCUUGAUUGGAGGGACCACACUGGAGGUGCGAGUCCGCCGUGUAAUGGCUUAUGCCAUCACAAACGAGCUGGCCUCAGUACUAAACUGGGCAGGGAAAAAAACAAAGGACCAGACGAAGCAAAAAAGGGCAUUUAAAGAUACAGCGCUGUGCAGAUGCAUAUUUGAUGGCCUGACGCAGCAGUUAGGGGCAAACUCUAUGUCAGAGUUUGUCUUUGCACAGGCAGUGCAGAAAUGGCUCCAAUACGCCCCAGAUCGUUUGGGUGGCGCAGGAUGCACAUCAUCCGUCCCCAUCCCGCAGUAAAAACUACAAAGUUAUGUUAAAAUAUAAAUGUAAAUAGAAAACUGUGUUUUAAUAAAGUAUUUAGCAAAC
ensembl:lncRNA